rnacentral:rRNA from 1 species
GGCCAGACUCCUACGGGAGGCAGCAGUGAGGAAUAUUGGUCAAUGGUCGGGAGACUGAACCAGCCAAGCCGCGUGAGGGAGGAAGGUACAGAGUAUCGUAAACCUCUUUUGUCAGGGAACAAAGGCGGGGACGUGUCCCCGGAUGAGUGUACCUGAAGAAAAAGCAUCGGCUAACUCCGUGCCAGCAGCCGCGGUAAUACGGAGGAUGCGAGCGUUAUCCGGAUUUAUUGGGUUUAAAGGGUGCGCAGGCGGUCUGUUAAGUCGGGGGUAAAAGCCGGGGGCUCACCCCCGGCGAGCCGUUGAAACUGGCUGUCUUGAGAUGUCGAGAGGUAUGCGGAAUGCGCAGUGUAGCGGUGAAAUGCAUAGAUAUCACGCAGAACUCCGAUUGCGAAGGCAGCAUACCGGCGCCCAACUGACGCUGAAGCACGAAAGCGUGGGUAUCGAACAGGAUUAGAUACCCUCGUACU